rnacentral:rRNA from 1 species
AUGCACGCUGGCGGCGUGCCUCAUACAUGCAAGUCGCGCGAACAGACGAGGAGCUUGCUCCUCUGACGUUAGCGGCGGACGGGUGAGUAACACGUGGAUAACCUACCUAUAAGACUGGGAUAACUUCGGGAAACCGGAGCUAAUACCGGAUAAUAUAUUGAACCGCAUGGUUCAAUAGUGAAAGACGGUUUUGCUGUCACUUAUAGAUGGAUCCGCGCCGCAUUAGCUAGUUGGUAAGGUAACGGCUUACCAAGGCAACGAUGCGUAGCCGACCUGAGAGGGUGAUCGGCCACACUGGAACUGAGACACGGUCCAGACUCCUACGGGAGGCAGCAGUAGGGAAUCUUCCGCAAUGGGCGAAAGCCUGACGGAGCAACGCCGCGUGAGUGAUGAAGGUCUUCGGAUCGUAAAACUCUGUUAUUAGGGAAGAACAAAUGUGUAAGUAACUAUGCACGUCUUGACGGUACCUAAUCAGAAAGCCACGACUAACUACGUG